rnacentral:rRNA from 1 species
CAGUAGCCACGGUAAUACGAAGGGGGCUAGCGUUGUUCGGAUUUACUGGGCGUAAAGCGCACGUAGGCGGACUUUUAAGUCAGGGGUGAAAUCCCGGGGCUCAACCCCGGAACUGCCUUUGAUACUGGAAGUCUUGAGUAUGGUAGAGGUGAGUGGAAUUCCGAGUGUAGAGGUGAAAUUCGUAGAUAUUCGGAGGAACACCAGUGGCGAAGGCGGCUCACUGGACCAUUACUGACGCUGAGGUGCGAAAGCGUGGGGAGCGAACAGGAUUAGAUACCCCCGUAGUCCCUGUCUCUUAUAC